rnacentral:lncRNA from 1 species
UAACUUUUCUGCAGGCCAAGAGCCUAAUAGGUUAUAAACACACCCUUCUGGCCUAGAGAUAGACAAGCAAAUAAACAAAAAACCCUUCCCUCUUAUAAGCCCUGAAAAUCAAAGAUCUAACUAAUACUGCCUUCCUUUGAAAAAUAUCAAAAUGGGGAUAUAGUUUUAAAUUUUAAAAUAAUUUAAACUCUAAUCUAAGCUAGAUUUUUCUAAUUAUUUAUUGUUUAUAUUUCAAUAGAUACAAAUCUUGACUCUAACUCUGGAACCCAAGAACUCAUCAAAGAGUUUUCUGUGAUGCAGAAAUACCUCCAUCUGCUGGAACUUUAGGUGUCUGUUAAUUCUAUAAUCCUGGAAACUAAAAAUCCAACUUUUUUGGUGGUGGGGUUAGAUAUUAUUC